UCUAUGGCAUCUUUGAAAAGCUUCGUGUGUUUUAGUUCCACUUUGACGACGGCUCCAUAUAGUGGUUGGUUGUCUAACGUAACGGUUAUUUGUCGCAGAUGGUUGGUUUUGAAUUUUCGGUUUUUGUUCCACAAACAUUGCGACUCGUUACGACCGGUUGGCGCGCAUUUUUGAAUAAAUUAAUUAUUUAAUACAAUAACAAAAAUAAAGUUGCAGUCUGAAAUCAUGUUCACAUUCUGUUUUUGUUAAAGUAGAAUGGCUUAGAUUAAAUUGUGAAGAAAAUGAUAUCAAAUUAUAAAAACAUGCAAAAACACGUACAACUUGUUUCGAACAUUCUCAAGAAUAAUAUACAAAACAUAUUGUAAAUGAAAUAAUUCCACAACCAAUUCAUCAUAAUUUUACUAAAGUGCCAAUUUUGUUAUAUCGAAAAAAUAACAACAAAAAUAAAAAAA
rnacentral:sRNA from 1 species